rnacentral:rRNA from 1 species
GAUGAACGCUAGCGGGAGGCUUAAUACAUGCAAGUCGAGGGGUAACGAUGGAGCUUGCUCCAGGCGACGACCGGCGCACGGGUGAGUAACGCGUACACGACCUACCUUUAAGAGGGGCAUAGCCUUGGGAAACUGAGAUUAAUACCCCAUAGUAUUAUCAUUUUAGAAUUUGAUAAUUAAAGAUUUCGAUCGCUUAAAGAUGGGUGUGCGUCCCAUUAGCUAGUUGGUGAGGUAACGGCAUCACCAAGGCAACGAUGGGUAGGGGGCGUGAGAGCGUGACCCCCCACACGGGUACUGAGACACGGACCCGACUCCUACGGGAGGCAGCAGUAAGGAAUAUUGGACAAUGGAGGAAACUCUGAUCCAGCCAUCCCGCGUGCAGGAUGACUGCCCUAUGGGUUGUAAACUGCUUUUGCAAGGGAAGAAUAGUCGUGAUUUAUCAUGAUAUGACGGUACCUUGAGAAUAAGCACCGGCUAACUCCG